CCUACGGGUGGCUGCAGUGAGGAAUAUUGGUCAAUGGGCGGAAGCCUGAACCAGCCAAGUCGCGUGAGGGAGUAAGGCCCUACGGGUCGUAAACCUCUUUUGCCGGGGAGCAGUGCCCAGCUCGUGAGCUGGGAGGUAGCGUACCCGGAGAAAAAGCAUCGGCUAACUCCGUGCCAGCAGCCGCGGUAAUACGGAGGGUGCGAGCGUUAUCCGGAUUUAAUGGGUUUAAAGGGUGCGGAGGCGGAUCUUCAGGCCGGCGGUGAAAUUUGGGGGCUCAAGCCCGCCGGAGCCGUGGAAACCGGGGGCCUUGAGUACCGGAGAGGUACGCGGAAUGCGUGGUGUAGCGGUGAAAUGCAUAGAUAUCACGAAGAACCCCGAUUGCGAAGGCAGCGUACCGGACGGUAACUGACGCUGAGGCACGAAAGCGCGGGUAUCGAACAGGAUUAGAUACCCCAGUAGUC
rnacentral:rRNA from 1 species